rnacentral:rRNA from 1 species
CAAAAGAAUUGACGGGGGCCCGCACAAGCGGUGGAGCAUGUGGUUUAAUUCGAUGCUACGCGAAGAACCUUACCUGGGUUUGACAUGCUGGUAGUAGUGAACCGAAAGGGGAACGAUCCGCAGCAAUGCGGAGGCCAGCACAGGUGCUGCAUGGCUGUCGUCAGUUCGUGUCGUGAGAUGUUGGGUUAAGUCCCACAACGAACGCAACCCCUAUUGCCAGUUGAUAACGUCAAGUCGAUCACUCUGGCGAAACUGCCUGCGAUAAGUAGGAGGAAGGUGGGGAUGAGGUCAAGUCAUCAUGGCCUUUAUGCCCAGGGCGACACACGUGCUACAAUGCGGCGUACAAAGGGAUGCAAAUCCGCAAGGAAGAGCAAAUCUCAAAAAGCGCCGCUCAGUUCGGAUUGAAGGCUGCAAUUCGCCUUCAUGAAGCUGGAAUCGCUAGUAACCGCAGAUCAGCGUGCUGCGGUGAAUACGUUCUCGGGCCUUGUACACACCGCCCGUCACACCAUGGAAGCCAGAAACACCCAAAGU